rnacentral:rRNA from 1 species
UACGAAGGCCCCAAGCGUUAUCCGGAAUUACUGGGCGUAAAGCGUCUGUAGGUGGUCUUUUAAGUCUUACCGUGAAACUUCGGGGCUCAACCCCGAAUUGCGGGAGAAACUGGGAGACUUGAGUGUGGGAGAGGGAAGCAGAACGGUAAGAGUAGGGGUGCAAUCCGUUGAUACUUACCAGAAUACCAAAAGCGAAGGCAGCUUCCUGGAACACUACUGACACUGAGAGACGAAAGCGUGGGGAGCAAAAGGG